rnacentral:rRNA from 1 species
GACGAACGCUGGCGGCGUGCUUAACACAUGCAAGUCGAACGAAGAGCGAUGGAAGCUUGCUUCUAUCAAUCUUAGUGGCGAACGGGUGAGUAACGCGUAAUCAACCUGCCCUUCAGAGGGGGACAACAGUUGGAAACGACUGCUAAUACCGCAUACGAUCUAAACUCGGCAUCGUGGAUAGAUGAAAGGUGGCCUCUACAUGUAAGCUAUCACUGAAGGAGGGGAUUGCGUCUGCUUAGCUAGUUGGAGGGGUAACGGCCCACCAAGGCGAUGAUCAGUAGCCGGUCUGAGAGGAUGAACGGCCACAUUGGGACUGAGACACGGCCCAGACUCCUACGGGAGGCAGCAGUGGGGAAUCUUCCGCAAUGGACGAAAGUCUGACGGGGCAACGACGCGUGAGUGAUGACGGCCUUCGGGUUGUAAAGCUAUGUUAAUCGGGACGAAAGGCCUUCUUGCGAAUAGGGAGAAGGAUUGACGGUACCGGAAUAGAAAGCCACGGCUAACUACGUG